rnacentral:tRNA from 1 species
AAACAAAUAGCUUAAAAAAAGCGUAGCUCUGAAGAUGCUAAGAUAGGUACUCUUUUGUUUG